UUAGAUAGACAGACAAUCGCAUGUGGGCAGCUACAUGAGGAAAGUCGGAGCAUCACAGAACAGGGUGCCAGCUAACGGCUGGUGAGGGCGACCUUAAGGAAAGUGCAACAGAAAUAAACCGCAUAACUUUGUGUUAUGUAAGGAUGGAAAGGCGAGGUAAGAGCUCACCCACUGGUUAGGUAACUAACCUUUGAUGUAAACCCCACCCGAUGCAAGGUUGGAAGAUGAUUUAACGUUGUUCGCUAGUCUUCCCAUACACCGCUUGAGAUUGCAGGCGACUGCAAUACUAGAUAGAUGAUUGUCCAAUACAGAACUCCGCUUACGGCUAUCUGGCUAC
rnacentral:RNase_P_RNA from 1 species